GUAAGGAAUAUUGGUCAAUGGACGCAAGUCUGAACCAGCCAUGCCGCGUGGAGGAUGAAGGUCCUCUGGAUUGUAAACUUCUUUUAUCUGGGAAGAAAUGCAUUUUUUCUAAAGUGUUUGACGGUACCAGAUGAAUAAGCACCGGCUAACUCCGUGCCAGCAGCCGCGGUAAUACGGAGGGUGCAAGCGUUAUCCGGAUUCACUGGGUUUAAAGGGUGCGUAGGUGGGCAGUUAAGUCAGUGGUGAAAUCUCCGGGCUCAACCCGGAAACUGCCAUUGAUACUAUCUGUCUUGAAUAUCGUGGAGGUAAGCGGAAUAUGUCAUGUAGCGGUGAAAUGCUUAGAUAUGACAUAGAACACCAAUUGCGAAGGCAGCUUACUACCCGAAUAUUGACACUGAGGCACGAAAGCGUGGGGAUCAAACAGG
rnacentral:rRNA from 1 species